rnacentral:rRNA from 1 species
CCUACGGGGGGCUGCAGUGGGGAAUAUUGGACAAUGGGGGGAACCCUGAUCCAGCCAUGCCGCGGGUGUGAAGAAGGCCCUCGGGUUGUAAAGCACUUUCAGUGAGGAAGAACGCCUGGUGGUUAAUACCCAUCAGGAAAGACAUCACUCACAGAAGAAGCACCGGCUAACUCCGUGCCAGCAGCCGCGGUAAUACGGAGGGUGCGAGCGUUAAUCGGAAUUACUGGGCGUAAAGCGCGCGUAGGUGGCUUGAUAAGCCGGUUGUGAAAGCCCCGGGCUCAACCUGGGAACGGCAUCCGGAACUGUCAAGCUAGAGUGCAGGAGAGGAAGGUAGAAUUCCCGGUGUAGCGGUGAAAUGCGUAGAGAUCGGGAGGAAUACCAGUGGCGAAGGCGGCCUUCUGGACUGACACUGACACUGAGGUGCGAAAGCGUGGGUAGCAAACAGGAUUAGUACCCGGGUAGUC